rnacentral:tRNA from 1 species
GGGUCCAUAGUUCAAUGGCUAGAAUGGUGGUCUCCAAAACCACUGAUCCUGGUUCGAAUCCAGGUGGACCCGCAA